CAUCCUGGGGCUGAAGUAGGUCCCAAGGGUAUGGCUGUUCGCCAUUUAAAGUGGUACGCGAGCUGGGUUUAGAACGUCGUGAGACAGUUCGGUCCCUAUCUGCCGUGGGCGCUGGAGAAUUGAGGGGGGCUGCUCCUAGUACGAGAGGACCGGAGUGGACGCAUCACUGGUGUUCGGGUUGUCAUGCCAAUGGCACUGCCCGGUAGCUAAAUGCGGAAGAGAUAAGUGCUGAAAGCAUCUAAGCACGAAACUUGCCCCGAGAUGAGUUCUCCCUGAGACUAUAAGUCUCCUGAAGGAACGUUGAAGACGACGACGUUGAUAGGCCGGGUGUGUAAGCGCAGCGAUGCGUUGAGCUAACCGGUACUAAUGAACCGUGAGGCUUAACCUUACAACGCCGAAG
rnacentral:rRNA from 1 species